CUUGCUAGGUGUCCUUAGUGGCGCACGGGUGAGUAACACGUGGGAACUUACCUCAGAGUACGGAAUAACUAUGGGAAACUAUAGCUAAUACCGUAUAUUCCGGAAACGGGAAAGAUUUAUCGCUCUGAGAUAGGCCCGCGCAAGAUUAGCUUGUUGGUGAGGUAAUGGCUCACCAAGGCUCCGAUCUUUAGCUGGUUUGAGAGGAUGAUCAGCCACACUGGGACUGAGACACGGCCCAGACUCCUACGGGAGGCAGCAGUAGGGAAUAUUGGACAAUGGGGGCAACCCUGAUCCAGCAAUGCAGCGUGAGUGACGAAGGCCUUAGGGUUGUAAAACUCUUUCAUCGGUGAGGAUAAUGACAGUAGCCGAAGAAGAAGGACCGGCUAAUUCCGUGCCAGCAGCCGCGGUAAUACGGAAGGUCCUAGCGUUGUUCGGAAUUACUGGGCGUAAAGCGCAUGUAGGCGGAACAGAAAGUUAGAAGUGAAAUCCCUGGGCUCAACCUAGGAAUUGCUUUUAAAACUUCUGUUCUGGAAUUAAGGAGAGGAAAAUGGAAUAUCCAGUGUAGAGGUGAAAUUCGUAGAUAUUGGAUGGAACACCAGUGGCGAAGGCGAUUUUCUGGACUUAUAUUGACGCUGAGAUGCGAAGGCAUGGGUAGCAAACGGGAUUAGAUACCCCGGUAGUCCAUGCAGUAAACGAUGGAUGCUAGUCGUCGGACUUAUGUUCGGUGUCGUAGCUAACGCGUUAAGCACCCCGCCUGGGGAGUACGGUCGCAAGAUUAAAACUCAAAUAAAUUGACGGGGACCCGCACAAGCAGUGGAGCAUGUGGUUUAAUUCGACGCAACGCGAAGAACCUUACCAG
rnacentral:rRNA from 1 species